GAUGAAGAACGUAGCGAAAUGCGAUAAGUAAUGCGAAUUGCAGAAUUUCCGUGAGUCAUCGAAUCUUUGAACGCACAUUGCGCCCACUGGUAUUCCGGUGGGCAUGCCUGUUCGAGCGUCAUUAUCCUCCCUCAAAACUCCUGUUUUGGUGUUGGGCCGCGUUGGUCACCUCCGACCAACGGGCCUCAAAGACAAUGACGGCGUCCGUGGGACCCUCUUCGCAGUGAGCUUUUGUUAGCGCGCGUUGAGUUUAAAGGACCCUCCGGGCUGGCCACCUUUAUCUAUUUUACAAGGUUGACCUCGGAUCAGGUAGGAAUACCCGCUGAACUUAAGCAUAUCAAUAAGCGGAGGA
rnacentral:misc_RNA from 1 species